rnacentral:lncRNA from 1 species
UUACUCAAGUUACUUCUUAUUGGCAACUCUGGGGCUAGAAAGUCUUGCUUCCUUCUUAGGUUUGCAGGUGAAACAUGUAAUACAUAUACAGAAAACUACAUCAGCACAAUAAGUGGGAAUUUCAAAAUAAGAACUGUAAUAUUAUAUGGCAAAAUAAUCAAGCUUCAACUAGGGGACACAACAGGCCAGGAAAGAUUUUCAUCACCUCCAGUUAUUACACAGGAGCCUAAGGCUGUAUGAUAUGACAGAUCAGGAGUCCUUCGAUAAUGUCAAAUAGUGGUUGCAGGAAAUUGAUCACUAGGCCAGUGAAAAUGUCAACAAAUUGUUGGUAGGAAACAAAUGUGAUUGCCCACAAAGAAAGUAGACUACACAACAACAAAGGAAUUUGCUGAUUCCCUUGGAAUUCCAUUUUUGGAAACUGGUGCUAAGAACACAGCAAAUGUAGAACAGACUUUCAUGAAAAUGGCAUCUGAGAUUAAAAAGCAAAUGGGACUAGAGCAACAGCUGGUGAUGCAGAGAAGUCUAAUUUUAAAAUUUAGACCACUUUGGUCAAGCAGUCAGGUGAAGGUUGA